rnacentral:rRNA from 1 species
UAUGCCUACGGGAGGCAGCAGUGGGGAAUAUUGCACAAUGGGGGAAACCCUGAUGCAGCGACGCCGCGUGAGCGAAGAAGUAUUUCGGUAUGUAAAGCUCUAUCAGCAGGGAAGAAAAUGACGGUACCUGAGUAAGAAGCUCCGGCUAAAUACGUGCCAGCAGCCGCGGUAAUACGUAUGGAGCAAGCGUUAUCCGGAUUUAUUGGGCGUAAAGCGAGUGCAGGCGGUUCAAUAAGUCUGAUGUGAAAGCCUUCGGCUCAA